CAAUCGGCCCUUUUCAGGGUCAACAUACGUUCAUUAAAAGGUUUAU
rfam:Aedes aegypti strain Liverpool supercont1.421 genomic scaffold, whole genome shotgun sequence.